rnacentral:tRNA from 1 species
GGUGAGGUGGGAGAGAGGCCGAAUCCACUAGUUUGCUAAACUGGCAUACGCUGUCAAAGCGUAUCGCGGGUUCGAAUCCCGCCCUCACCGCCA